CAUCUGACCUUAGUGACCAGGACAGGAGGGGCAAGGUCAGAUGAGCACAGGUUAGCCUGUCAUGACUGCUAAAACAGGGGGCUGGCCACUUCAAUUGAGGCAAACCCCAGGACUCCUUGCUUGAGUUUCUGAACUCUUCGGACCACACCUCAGCUGUGCUUCAGAUCAUCUGCGUGUAAAGACUGUCGGAAAAGAACAAGGUGUCAGGGGCCCCUCUCCACGGCUUGGGCCAGGCAAACUGGGCUCACGUCUGGUCCAUACGCUUUUCACCGACGUGACAUGACUGCAACUACUAACUGGAUCCAUUUUCCUCUCAGGGAAGUGUCCACUUAGGUGCCCCAGCCAGCAAGCUGGUUUUCAGAAAGCCCCAUGGCAACCGUGUACCAAUACCUUAAACUAUCGCCAGCAUGCUGGCCUGCUUCUUCCGGACUCCAUCCUCAUCCACAGGCUACACGCCUGAGCAGAAUGCUCUGGAGCUGGGACAGGUGGUGUCGGCACCAUGGCAUUUGUGUCCCCAAACCCGUGUACGGACUUGUUCGUUCACACCGGCAAAAACAGACCAUGGAGGUAGAAACGUAUCAUCACGUGUGGGUGUGUAGGCCAUCCUACACAUCGCCCACACUUGACCGAAACAUCGUUUUAAGGCUCUGGACUUUACCUGGAUAAAUCUCAUGAGAAUUACUUAACUUCUAGUGGUUUUAUUCUGGCCCUAGUCAUUUCAUAAUGAACGUACCGUCACAACACGGGUGUUUUUGUGGCUUCGGCAGUGCUGAAGCAGAGAAGCAGGAGGUGGAGAAGGGGGGAGGGAGAAGAGAAAGAGGCGGGAAGUGGACCCUGCUGGCCUCUAUUCUGUGGGCUGUUGAACCUCCCCAGGGCAGGCUGGCUGAGCCUUUAUUCCGAAGCCUGCCGUUUCUCCCCAAAGCUCCCGUUCUGACUAAGGAGGCUAACUCAAGUGAAUCCACGGGAAAGAAAAAGGAAAGUGAUAUUCUAAUUUUACCCAGUUCAGAAUGCAACCAGACACGGGAAUGCGCCUGCGAUUCUGACUCAUGAGUGCACCAGAGCUUUGUUUUAGGGAGCAGCAAUGUGUUCAGUCCAAAUUGGCCGUGAAGUGAAUAAACAUUAUUUUCCCACCGAAUUCAGCUCUAAAACGACGGGAAAUCUUUCUAUGAGAACUGGAAAGCAAAAACAAAACAACAAAACCACACAGCAGACAAGAGUGCCACUGCCAGGAGACACGAGCC